GAAAAGUGAAAACACAGAGUUUAGAGAAAGAAGGAAAAGUAGUUUUCAAAUUGUUUCUGAGAUGUGAUAUGUGAAAAAGGAAAUAGAUGACAUGACAAUAAAUUUUGUCACACGUUUUCAAUUGGUUUUGAACAAAAAAUCAAACUAAUGAGUUAAACAAAAUCCAAAAAAUACUAAAACAUGGCUAACUUGACCAACUAAAUUGGUUAUAAAGAAAACUUGGUUCAAUAAAGUAAUAUUUGGACCACAUUUUCCCCCAUUUUGAUGACAUGG
rnacentral:lncRNA from 1 species